CUUAUACUCCGUCCGUCCAAAAAUACUUGUCAUCAGAAUGGACAAAAAGGGAUGUAUCUAAAACUAAAAUACAUCUAGAUACAUCCCUUUUAUCCAUUUUGAUGACAAGUAUUUCCGGACGGAGGGAGUAUAUA
rnacentral:pre_miRNA from 1 species